UCACCUAGAAAAAUACAUACAUUAUUUUAACUACAGAAAAAAUAAUUAUCAAUUAACAGUAAGAAGGGGAAAGCCAAUGUACUUCUCGAAAGUCCUUUGUAAUUAGAUAUAAGAGGGAAGAUAUUCCUUUCAUAAGCAGGGAUAAAGUGUCACAGAAGACAAGAACAAUGGCGAUCACAAGUGCAAAGAAUCUGAUUGCUUUUUCAUGUUCCAGAUGUGAAAUGUGCCCAUUGUCCAAUAUUGGAUAAUUGGGGGGAAUAAAUUGUCUAAGCUCUGAGAUGACUCAAUAUAGAGGCUCUUGUCAUCAAUGCCUCUGAACCACUCCGGACUGAGGGCAUUAGGGAACUGGGUCAAUAUCAGUUAGCUGAGACAUAAAAGUGGCUUGUUUUUUUUGGCUUGCCUGCUCAGGAAUCAUUUUCACGUAACUGAUGCUGAGGCAAUGGAGUCUUCACUUGCAAAAGAGAGGAGAACCGACAAAUACUAAUCGCCUGUAACUACAACAAACCCCUAGGGACCUGACAGACUUUUAUUUAAAAAAUGCCACACUACAGGGCUUCCCUGGUGGUGCAGUGGUUGAGAGUCUGCCUGCCGAUGCAAGGGACAUGGGUUCGUGCCCCGGUCUGGGAGGAUCCCACGUGCCGCGGAGCGGCUGGGCCCGUGAGCCAUGGCCGCUGAGCCUGCACCUCUGGAGCCUGUGCUCUGCAACGGGAGAGGCCACAGCAGUGAGAGGCCCGCGUACCGCCAAAAAAAAUGCCACACUACAAAUCAUAUAUCUGAUAGGGCGGUUAAUAUCAAAAGUAUAUAAAGAAUGUAUACAACUCAAAUACAGGUGACCAACAAGCACAUGGAAAGAUGCUCAACAUCACUAAUCAUCAGGGAAAUGCAGAUAAAACCACAAAGAGACAUCACGUCACGCCUGUUACAACGACUGUUAUCAAAAUGACAAGAAAUAAGUGUUGGUGAGGAUGUGGGGAAAAGCAACUCUAGUGCAUCAUGUGCAGAAAUGUAAAUUUGUGCAGCCACUAUAGAAAAUAGUAGGAGGCUCCUCAAGACAUUAAAAAUAGAACUACCAUAUGAUCCAGCAAUUCCCCUCCUGGGUAUUUAUCUAAAUAAAAUGAAAAUAGUAAUUUGAAAAGAUAUAUGCCCCCCCCCACCAUGAUCAUUGCAGCAUUAUUUACAAUAGCCAAGAUAAGGAAAUGAGUGUCCAUCAGUGGAAGAAUGGAUAAAGAAGAUGUGAUAUAUAUAUAUAUAUAUAUAUACACACACACACACACACACAAUGGAAUACUCUUCAGCCAUAAAAAAAAUGGCCUCUUGCCAUUUGCAACAACAGGGAUGGACCUUGGGGACAUUAUGCUAAGUGAAAUAAUUCAGAGAAAGGAAUACCAUAUGAUCUCAUGUGGAAUUCAACAAUAAAAGCAAGCUCAGAUACAGAGAACGGACUGGUGGUUGCCAGAGGUGGGGGGAGUCGGGUGGGUGAGGAUGUACAAUGGGUGAAAGGGGUCAAAAGUUAUUACAGACUUCCAGUUAUAAAAAAAAUAAGCCCUGGGGAUGUAAUGUACAGCACAGUGAAUAUAGUUACUAAUACUGUAUUGCAUAUUUGAAAGAUGCUACGAGGGUAGGUCUUAAAUAUCCUUAUUACAAGAAAAAAAAAUUUUUUUGUGUGAUUAUGUGAGGUGACAGAUGUUAACUAGACUUAUUGUGGUGAGCAUUUCGCAAUGUAUACAAAUGUUGAAUCAUUAUGUUGUACACCUGAAACUAAUAUGUUAUAUGUCAAUUAUACCUCAAUUAAAAACAAUAUAUUACUAUCAAUAUAAUACUUAAAAAAGAACUCUUCUCUCUGCAGUGGUUCUCACGCCUGGGUGUACAUCAGAAUCACUGGAAGAGACUUUUGCCCCACCCAGCAUGCAGAACUCACCUGAACAGGGAUCGAACCUGCACCCCCUGCAGCGGAAGCAUGGAAUCUUAACCACUGGACCGCCAGGGAAGUCCAAGGCUGCCGUUCUUGUAGAGCAAUAAAGGGAUGGCCCACUGGUCUGGUUCGGGCACCUUCCCAAGGUACUCAGUGUGAUUACACGCCAAGCUUUUGUCUGGGGACUAAUUUCUAAAAGUCCUCAAUUCUGUAACUGUCAGGUUGUCCGUCCUUGCAUCCUCCCCCCCUAGGCACGGGCCCUGCUCUCCUGUGGACCACUCACCACAGCAUCACAAAUCAGGUUGCCCAUGUUGCAUUCUCGAAAGCGGCAUGACUGAGUGGUACCAUCCAGAUAGACAAUUGUUUUCCCCAGUUCCUGGGUCGAGUAAUUAUCUAAUUUUAUCCUCCAUUUGUUAAUGUCUGCUUUUAUGCUUGGAUCUAGAAGAAAACAGACAAAUCAGCCUGCAGUUAAAGCCUAAAUGUUGGAGAAAGGCUCAAACGUCAUUCAGCUCACCUGGCGUGAGUACACAGUUCUUUACCGUAUUUGUGUACAUUUUGAUUUUGACUGGGAAAUUUCCUUAGGAACCUCUAUUCCGUUUCCUGGGAGUAAGACCCAGCUUGGAUCUUAAAGACGUGCCAAGUAAAUCAGCAUCAACUCGUCACAUCUGAAUGAGUGUCUGCUGGCUCAACGGGGAGGGCAUUAGUGGUGGGGAGACAAUGAGAGGCCCAAGGGCAGGUAUAAAGGGUUGAGACGUCCGGCUACAGGGUCCCGGCCCCUCCCUCUGGCUGUCAGGAGCUCUGGCUCUCCAGGGCCCCUGGUCACCCGUCCUUCCCUGUCUGAUCACGGUAAGCAGGAAAGGGCAGGCGAGAGAGAAGCACAGGAGGAUGUUCAUGUACACUGUAUGAAAUGCAUGACAUGAAAUGUCUUUUCGUUUUGAUUCCCAGAUCAAAAAGUAAGAAAGACACACACGCAUUUGAUGACCUGAAGCCCAUGGAGACUGGGCCGCUUGCCCAGGUACACUGCUCCCUUUGCCCCAACAAUCAGCUCUCCUCUGGACAUGGGCCGAGAGUGGCUCUCCUGUGCCAGGGUGAAGCUGGAAGAGACACGAGAGGCAGCGACACAGUGUCUGAUGCUGAGAGGGCUUGGAGAAGCACAUGGGACUUUUGCAAUUCGUGUGUGUUUUAAAUCUCCUUAUCCACGAAGAGGGUAGAGUAAACUCAAGGGAGAAAGAAGCUCGGGUCUUCAAAAACAUUGUCCUGAAACAUUAACCAAAAAAUAAAAAGGAAAAAAAAAAAGAAAAAAAAAA